ACAUGUUUUGAAAGAUCACGUUAAGUACUCAAAAUAUCACAAGAGAUACUUAUAUUCAAUUAAUUUCAUAUAGUUGGACAACGUUAAUUUACAUUUCAUAAUUGAUAAGAUGUAUGAAUAUUUUUAUUUUCAUUAUUUGAAUAUUUUCAGUCCCACCCUUGUAAUGGGAUAUUAGCUCACAUAAUAGUAUUUAUCAAGGUCUUGAGAUAUCCUAAAAUUUUACUUAUAUUCUUUUUCUUUUCGUAUAUCUAUGUAUGGAAUUCGGAUUAUAGUCUCCUUUUUCUGCAUUUGCAAGAUAGGGGAGCAGUUUGAAGUGGUAUACCACUAAUAUACUUUAUAAUCAAACAUAAUUUAUUAACUUGACAAUAUUUCACAGGUUAUAUUCCGAAAGAGAUUGGUUAUCUUAAUUACUUAGAAGUAUUAGACUUGGGUUCCAACAAAUUCAGUGGACGAUUACCAAGACAACUUUGGAAUGUCACGACUCUUCGUGAAUUAUACAUUCGCAACAUCUCUUUAAUUGGUGGUAUUCCGAAAGAGAUUGUUUAUCUUAAUAAUUUAGAGACUUUAGACAUGAGUGGCAACAAUCUUAGUGGACCAUUUCCAAGACAAAUCUUGAACAUCACAAGUCUCCGUCAACUAGACCUCAGCAGCGCCUCUUUAAAUGGUACAAUACCAUCCACCAUUGAGAAUCUAUCAAAUCUGCAGUGGUUACUACUCUAUGACAACCAAUUAAAUGGUCCAAUACCAUCCGCCAUUGGGAAUCUAUCAAAUUUGGAGUAUUUAUAUCUCUCUUCCAACAAAUUAAAUGGU